UGGUCUAGUGGUAGAGUGCCUCGUUGCAAUCGAGGCGACCCGGGUUCAAUUCCCGG
rfam:Gregarina niphandrodes unplaced genomic scaffold scaffold00078, whole genome shotgun sequence.